rnacentral:rRNA from 1 species
GCUGUCGGUGCGUGCCACGGUCUGCCCACAGACCAAACCGCGCGCUGGUCGGCUCGCGGGCUCGUGGAGCAGAGGCAGGGAGCUAAGGGUUAACUUAGCUAGGGGAAAGGGUUGGAUCGCGAUCCCGACCGAGGCCGCCGGCUGGAGAGGACGGAGAGGGAGCCGGGGAAGGGAGGUCAGCCGGCAGAGGGAGGGGAAGCCGCAGGUCAGGAGAGGAGGCACCAAGGCAGUCCGCAGCCCGGCGGUUAGGCGGAGGCCGGAGGGGACGAGGGGUCACGCCGCCGUCAGCCGUCGAGGGAGGCCUGUGGCAGGAGCUCGGAGGGACCGAGCCGCCGAGGGGCCGCACCGCCGUCGCGGAAGUCGUCCGUCGUCUGCUCGUCAGGCCGGAGGGAGGUAAGACGUUAGACGUAGGUAGGUGUGUUACUUCUUCUUCCUACAAUCGUAUAAACUUUACACCCUGUCUAGAACUUUCUGUUCGUUUCAUUGAAGAUGUAGGUGUGGUUGAGGUAACUCCAACUCUCGUUAGACGUCGAUCGUGAUCACGUUUGUGGGGCUGGGGUUAACAUCUUCUGCUACUUCGCCAACUACUUCUACUACUUAGUUACGGGGUUAAACUUCGUCUAAACCGUCGAGACUUUGCACUAGGACCGUUCGCUG